rnacentral:lncRNA from 1 species
UAUAAGAUAAGAUAAGAUAAGAUAAGAUAUUUUUAUUUCCAAUUAUGGGCCCCAAAGGGCAUAAACAUUACAACAUCAAUAAUUUUUUCAUAAUACAAUACAAACAAUGAGAUAAAAAAAAAAAAAAGUUAAACGAGAACUAUUUAAGUUCUUAAAGAAUACGUAGAUAAAGAAUCUAUAGUAUGUUGGUUUUUUUUAAUACUAAUGCAUUUUAUUACAAGUGUGGUUGAUAUAGAUAACAAACAAGCAGCCCAAAAAAAAAAAAAAAAAAAAAUAGAUAUCCA